rnacentral:tRNA from 1 species
GGCAACAGGUGGCAACAACCGAGAGAAGGUCGCAAGAUGGGACUGAAAAUCCCCGUGUCGGUGGUUCGACUCCACUCCUGGCCA